GUUCCAUAGAACUCUCCUGCAUCAUCAUAUAUAAAUUAAUUAUCACGCGCCUUGAGUUGAAGGGCACUCGGAAUGUGAAGCAAACCUCAGGUCAAAUGAAUGGACGAAUCCGGUUUCAUUGUGAACUCAAAAGGCAUAUAUGCAUCUCGAGUCCCAUGAAAAAUUAAGCACAUAAAUUUCUUUCCACCAGAAAACGAGGUGAACUGAUUUUGAAAUGCCAAAAGUAUCCAGUGAAGGUGAAAAGACAUGGCACAGUAAUGGGGACAUCUACUGUAGAGUCACAGAUUCGCAGUCCUUUGCUUCAUGUAAGCAUGCAUGUGAACUUGCUGAAACAUCAUCAUUAACAGCUUCGUCUUUUAUCUCACGCACAUAUAAAUGUUUUUUGUUACAUUUUACUGCACUAAAUGUCGACACAGACUGAUCGUGAUGAGAAUCCUAAUGAAAUCCAAAUAUAAAGCCAAUACGCAAUAACGACAAAAAUGAAAAUACAAGAAAGAAACAAAGAAAGAAAGGGAAAGAAAAAAGUAUAAGAGAGAAUAAAAAAGGACUCAACUAAUUUUUCUAAUGCACUUAAUUCAUGAGUAUUUUGAUGCUGCUGUGAGUUUUAUGCAGAAGAAGAGUCGCUCUGCACUCUUAAAGUUGUAGCAAGUAUAGAGGGAGCAAAAGAUGAGGAAGAACCUAACUAAGGUCUUCUCAGAACGAUCAACAAGCAAGAAGAAGAACAGCAGUAGAAUCACGGCUCCUGAGCUGCAGCCAACUA